rnacentral:SRP_RNA from 1 species
GCCGGGCGCGGUGGCGCGUGCCUGUAGUCCCAGCUACUCGGGAGGCUGAGGUGGGAGGAUCGCUUGAGCCCAGCAGUUCUGGGCUGCAGUGCUAUGCCGAUCGGGUGUCCGCACUAAGUUCGGCAUCAAUAUGGUGACCUCCCGGGAGCGGGGGACCACCAGGUUGCCUAAGGAGGGGUGAACCGGCCCAGGUCAGAAACGGAGCAGGUCAAAACUCCCGAGCUGAUCAGUAGUGGGAUCGUGCCUGUGAAUAGCCACUGCACUCCAGCCUGGGCAACAUAGCGAGACCCCGUCUCUA